rnacentral:rRNA from 1 species
GACGAACGCUGGCGGCGUGCUUUACACAUGCAAGUCGAACGGUGAAGGUGGAGCUUGCUCCGCCGGAUCAGUGGCGAACGGGUGAGUAACACGUGGGCAACCUGCCCCUAACUUUGGGAUAACUACUCGAAAGAUUAGCUAAUACCGGAUAUGAAGUCUGUAGGCAUCUAUGGAUUUGGAAAUGUUUUCGGUUAGGGAUGGGCCCGCGGCCUAGCAGCUUGUUGGGGGGGUAGUGGCUCACCAAGGCGACGACGGGUAGCCGGCCUGAGAGGGCGACCGGCCACACUGGGACUGAGACACGGCCCAGACUCCUACGGGAGGCAGCAGUGGGGAAUAUUGCGCAAUGGGCGAAAGCCUGACGCAGCAACGCCGCGUGCGGGAUGAAGGCCUUCGGGUUGUAAACCGCUUUCAGCAGGGAAGAAGCGAAAGUGACGGUACCUGCAGAAGAAGCACCGGCUAACUACGUGCCAGCAGCCGCCGUAA